AUGAGUCCAAAUGAGGAGCCCAAAUCCAAAACCCAUCAGAUUUUUCAUUUUUGGACAAUACACAAGACUAAAAGGACCCAAAAACCUUCUUCUUUAGCUACAAGAACAACAACAACAGAGGACAUGAAGACAAACCCUAGAAGGAAACCCUACAACCGACGCCACCCCUAAUCUCCACCAGCACCGACCACCCUGAACGCCGCCGACCACCCUGAACGCUGCCGACCACCAUCACCCGUUUCCCAACCCAAACUUGCCGGAACUCAUUCAACACCAACGACCCAUGCUUGUGUCAGCCAUCAAACGACCAAGACCAUCCACUCUCAACUGUCACAGCAGCCACCAACGACAACCACCUCCCCUACAUCGAAAACUAGUAGCAGCCAUCUUCAACUUAGUUGACUCCACCCUUCUGCCUCCCCAACUUCACACACACACACAAAAAACAGAGAACAGAGAGAAUAACAUGGAAUAGAUAUGAAAGAAAACUUGCUCGUUUCAUAAUGGAAACUUGGGAUAAAAUUGGGUUUCAAAAAAAAUGAUUUGGCGGCUCAUUUUUGUGGUCUUCAGUGUUUAUUUAAAUUUUAAAAAAAAUGCAUAUCGAUAUACGGGGAUAGACAACUCUGUUCUUUUUCCGUUUUGGUUUUGAGUUUUGGUUUUCAAGUAUGAGAAUGAAGAUCAAUUGAGAUUUGGAGUUCGAUUCGAGAUGUUUCUGGGCGUCGAUUUCUGUUCGAGUUUCCGGGGACAUUCGAAUUUUUGUCCGCUGGUUCUAUUUGUUUGACAUGAGAUUCAAUGCAUUUCUAAAGAGGUGUAUCAAUAGCUUCAAAAGGUCCACUCUGAUCCCUUUAUUAUUUUUAUUUGUCGAUGUUUCCCAUGUUAUCGUGAUGUUUUUUUUGCUAGGACUUGAUUGAAAUUAAUUGUUCAUCAUAGUUUCGCUGGUUUUGAUUAUUUGGUGCUACAUUCUUAAUAAAGCCUUAAGCCAUGACUCAGACGUUGAAACAAAAUGAAUGGGAUACUGUUUUUUAUUAAAAGCAUAGGGUAUUGCCAAUAGGUUAAGUGGGCGGUGAUCAAUGUUAUUUAAUAGGAAUCAGAAUUUGACCAUGAAUGGACCUUGCAUGACAAUUAGGUUUUAAUUGUUUACUAAUUAAUUUACCCGCUAGGAGUAUGUUGGGCCGACUAAACUUGGGUAGGUAAAUUUUAGGAUUUUGUUUCUUUAAUUUCGAGGCGAGAGGUCAUUCCUUUAGUUGAAUUUAUCCGGGGAAUGCCCCGAAGAAUUUGUAUAUAUUAUUAUCCGGGGUAUGCCCCGAAGAAUUAUGUAAAUAUUUUGGAGGCCUUGAAGAGCAUGGUGGAGAAGUCGUAGUAUAGGUUAGCUUAUGAUUUUCUUUUCUUUUCCUUGUAUAGGUUAGCUUAUAAUUUUCUUUUCUUUUCCUUUUCAUUAGGUGGGGAUGACCUCAAGCCUUUUGUGUGUUUAUUUUAUUUCGGUGUGUUUUACCUCAAUUUGAAUAUUUUAAAAGCUAACUAGAUCGAGUACGCAACCGUGACCUUCACAGGAUUUGGGGAGUGCCUAACACCUUUUUUCCGAGUCAAAUGAACCCCCUUACAUGAAUCUCUGGUGUAGACUUAGUUUUAGAGUCUCAAGUGUUUUGAAAGGAAAAUUACUAUUUUUGGAAAAAUGGUGACCUGACAUACCGAAAUCAAAUGUCAGGUGGUGACUUUGAGUUUUAAUCCUUUUGAACAAAAUUUUGUCACUUCUCAAUUGAAAAACCCUUUUCGAGCUUUGCUAAAAUCCUUUUAUUUAUUUAAGAAGGUUUAGUAAGGUUUGUUUUUAAAAAGGGGGUGUGACAGACUUCCUUUGACAUUUCCUAUGUCUUAGAUUCUCCUCAUUAUGCAUUAUUCCUUGGAAUACAUGUCUCACCUUCAUUUUUAUAUGGAAAUAUAUGCUCAAAAAAUUCAGCAUUAUUUGAUUCCAUUAUUGUAUUCACUUGGAUUUCUGGAUUUUCUGAUUUGUGAACCAGAAAACGAUAUGCUUUACUAUUUGUUGCGUAUCCUAUAAAUACACAAUCCAUAGUUUUAGGUCCUAUUUUAACUCUUUUGGGUUUAGGAUCUUGAACAUUUGUCAAGCACCCCCACACUUUGAAAUAUUUUAAGUUAGGACUUCUUCCUUUCCAUUUCUCAUAUGGUAUGGAUUGUGUUUUGCUAUGGGGAAUUCGAUUAAGAAUUUUAGUUGCUGUUAGAAUGGCUUCCCCCGACAAGUUUUGUGGUAACCCAGAAGUUAUCAAUAAAGCAUUCAGCAUCUCCUUAAGAGUUCUAUUCUUUCUUUUUGCAAUCCCGUUGGAUUGUGGUGAAUAAGGAGCAGUUGUUUGGUGAAUGAUACCAUACUCCAAACAUAUUCCUUCAAAUAGUGAUUCAUACUCACCUCCCCAAUUAAAAAUUCUGUUUGCUGUUAGAACGGCUUCCCCCAACAAGUUUUGUGGUAACCCAGAAGUUAUGAAUAAAGCAUUCAUCAUCUCCUUAAGAUUUCUAUUCUUUCUUUCUGCAAUCUCGUUGGAUUGUGGUGAGUAAGGGGUAGUUUUUUGGUGAAUGAUACCAUACUCCAAGUAUAUUUCUUCAAAUGGUGAUUCAUACUUACCUCCCAUAUCACUUUUAAUCAUUUUUAUUUUACUAUUUAAUUGAGUCUAAACUUCAUUUUUAUAUUGCUUAAAUGUAUCUAUUGCCUCAUCCUUAUUAUUUAACAAGUAUACAUAACAAUAUCUUGUACUAUCAUCAAUAAAAGUUAUGAAAUAUUUUUUCCCAUCGCGAGAUGGUAUUGAUUUCAUAUCACAAAUAUCAAUGUGAAUUAAGUCCAAAGGAUUUGAAUUCCUUUCAACCGACUUAAAAGGAUGCAUAGCAUACUUAGAUUCCACACAUAUUUGACACUUUGUAUUUUCACAAUUAAACUUAGGCAAUAUUUCAAAAUUGAUCAUUUUUCGCAAUUUCUUGAAGUUAACAUGACCUAAACAAGAAUGCCAUAAAGAAUUUGAAACAAGCAAAUAAGAAGAUUCGACUUUAUUCAUAUCAACAACUAUUACAUUUAGUUUUUAAAGGCCCUCAUUUAGGUAGCAUUUUCCUACAUACAAUUCAUUUUUAGUUAUUACAAUCUUGUCCGAAACAAAAAUGCACUUAAAUCCAUUUUUAACGAGAAGUGCAACACUAACGAAGUUCUUCCUAAUAUAUGGAACAUGAGGUACAUUACUUAAAGUAACUACUUUGACAGAUGUCAUCUUCAAGCAAAUCUUCUCAUAACCUUCAAUCUUCGCAAUUGGGAGUUGCCCAUGAAGAUGGUCUCGUCUGGACCGGCGGAAUCAUAAGAAGUAAAUAACUCUUUGUUAGUACAAACAUGUCGUGUAGCUCUUGAAUCAAUCCACCAUUUCUUGGAGUUCCAUACCAAGUUACAUUCAGAAAACAUAGCACAUAAGUUUUCUAUACCAUUGUUCUUUUCAGCAAUGUUUGCUUGUUGGGUUCUCUUAUCCUUCUUAGGAAAACGACAUUCUGCAAUUUUGUGCACAAUUGUGGCAGUUGCCUUUGAAUUUCUUCUUAGGCGGAUUCUGCUUUGGCCCAGAUGGCUUCUUCCUUUUCUUCCUAUUAGUUUAUGCCUCUUCAACAAUAUUUGCACCAGCGAUGGAAUAACUUGCACCAGACUUCUUUUCUACUGCUUUGUUAUAUUCUUCUAUCCUUAUGCGCACCACAAGAUCUUCAAGUGUCAUUUCCUUGCGUUUGUGCUUUAGUUAAUUUUUGAAGUCCUUACCAUAAUAGAAGCAAUUUUUCAAUAAAUGCUGCCACUUGAAAAGCUUCAUUGAUCACCAAGCCCUUUGCAAGCAUAUCAUGAACCAACACUUGUAACUUCUGAACUUGAGAGAUAACAGACUUGUUGUCCACCAUUUUAAACUCUAGAAACUUCGCAACAACAAACUUCUUAAAACCAGCAUCUUUAGUUUUGUACGUCUUCUCAAGCACAACUCUUUUGAAGUUUUACAAAUACUAACGACAUUGUACAAAAUAUCUUCUAAACCAUCUAGAACAUAAUUUACACAAAAGAAAUCAGAAUAUUUCCAAGCCUCAGAUACCAGAAAUUUCUCGUUGUCAGGUGUGCCUUCAGCUACAACAAGUUUGUCUUCAUUGAUAAACCUUUGCAGAUUGAGCGUUCUUAGGUAGAAGAAUAUUUUCUUCUGCCAAUGUUUAAAAUCAACCUCGAUAAAUUUACUGCGUUUACAACCAUUGCAAUUGUUGGAGCAAGGGUAACGUUUGGUGCAAUAGCCCGAGUAGAACCAAUUUACUCUGUCCUAGUGUUGGAAAAAGCAUCACUUGUUCCAUUCAUUAUUUUUUUGGAGAAACAACACAAACCAAAGUUAGCAAUCUGGUAAAAAUUUUAAUCUUCAAACCAACUACUACAAAAUAAUUUGUAAACAACACAAUCAAAUUUAGAAAUCUGGUGAAGGUUUUAAUCUUCAAACCGAUUACUACAAAUCAAUUUUACUUGAUGAAUUUUUUAUUACUUCAAACCAAGCAAAAUAAGAACACUGUUACAAAAAUAAUUUAUAAUUCCUUAAGUUUGCUAUUAGAAGUGUUCUAGUUCGAAAGAUGUUUAAACAGAAAGAUAAAUGAAAAUAAAUGAAGCAGAAUAUUAAAUCUGAUACCAUAAAUUUCUUGUGUCUCCUUAUGAAAUAAUAACCCUGCCACAGUUGCCAAGAAUUAUAGAUUACUUUCUCCCAGGAUAGAACGGGAAAAAGUUUCUGUGAUAGUGGCAAUAUAAACCACAGAAUUCUAACGAACUCAAAGAUACGCUGCUAAUCACACGACUUACAGUUUUGUUUUGGUGGAAAAAAAGAUGCAGUAAUUAAGUUAGGAAGAGGGACUGUUUUUUAGAGAGAAACAUGUAAAAAACUAAGUGAAGAAAUGAGGCAAAGCCUCCGGAAUUUAUAGACAAUUAUUGGAAGAGGUAUGAUGUUUGGUUUGGAAUGGUGUCUGUCCAGAAAAAACGCGUCCUGCCGCGGUUAUGCCAGGACCACGGUCAGAGUAGCCUAUAGAUUGAAUCUGUUGCGAUCCUACCGCGGUUACGCCAGGACAGCGGCAAGAGUGACCUUCAGACACACUGUUAUGGCGCGGUACAGCAAAUAACUGACACGCAUUAAUUAAUUAUUAAAUAAUUAAUUAAAUAAAUUUUAUCCAAAAAUAAUUUAUCGAUCGUUUUCCAAAUCCAAAGCUAAAGCCGAGCCGAGCAACUACGUCAGCGCGAGGGGUUUAUCUUUUUCUCAACCUUUUGAGAAAUAAAUAAUGUUUUUCUCAAUAUAAACUCAUAUCAAAUGGUUUCCCCAUCCAAUGUGGUACAAUCAUCUUUUCAAGAUUUUAAUGAAUUUGAAUUUUUCAUUUCCCUCCAAAAGUCAUCUCCUCCAUUUCCCUUUCACUCCACUUAAUUAAAGACAAAGUUUAUCUUUAAACUCCAACAAUAACUAACCACAACACAGUUACUUAUCUCAAAAUAAAAUAUCUCAAUCUAUACUCCUCACUAUUACUAUAUACAUGAAGGUCUCAUCUAAACUAAUUUCCUUAACACUUAAAAUGAAAAAAUUGCCAGUAAUUCUUGAACUCUGCUACCAGCUCGCACAUGACAAGUAUAGACUAUUUCUCGAGCAAUUGCUUCCCAACUUUUGGCAUUCUUUUCAAACACUCUAUUGUUCCUUUCAAUCCAUAUAGCAUAGACACAUUCCGCGUAUAUCGAUUUGAAUAGUUGAGCUUGUUUAGAUUUCCCUUUAGCCCGUUUGAUAGCCCAAGUAGCAUGAUGAUUCCAUUCAUCUGGUGCUUGUUGCCAUUGUACCCAUUUCUUCAUUGUUCUCCAUAUAGCCUUAGCAUAGUCACAUUCUACAAACAAGUGGUCUCUUGUUUCCAGUUCAACUUGACACAAAGAGCAAGUAUUGUCCACUGUUAUACCCCACCGCAUUAGCUUAUCUGCUUUAGCCAACCUCCCCUGCAAUACCAACCACAUUAUAAAACUUGCCUUUGGUCUUGCAUCAUUCUUGAACAUAAGGCAUUUCAAGACUACUGAUCUCAUUUCAGGGAUCAAUUUGUAGUCGAUAGCAUUAGUCAAGCUCCUUGAGCUUGAAGUUGUAGGGAUCAGAUGCAGUUCAUUCCUCAAUUCCAAAAGCUUUCUAGUAAUCCAGCUGGCUUAUGUUGGAACUGUUUCUUCCAGUAGUGGCUUCCCUUUAAUAUAGUAAGUGUUGAUCCAUAUGAACCAUAUCUUGUCUUGUUUGUGAGCAAUAUCCCAGCAUGUUUUGAUUUGAGCUGCUUUAUUCUAUAAUUUCAUGUUGAUGAGGUUUAUUCUACCCACAGACUUAGGCAGACACACUCUAUCCCAUGCUAUCAAAGCUUUUUUAGUAAUUGAGUUGCUGCUAACCGCACAUAGCUUCUGCAAUAAACUUCUAUAAUCUUCAAAGCCUUAACAGGGAUAAGAAAUAGCUGGGCCCAAUAUGCUUGCAUUCCAAACAAAACUGACUUCACUAAUUGUGUUCUUCCUGUAUAUGAUAAUUUUUUGUUGUCCAAGAGGUGAUUCUAGCUAUUAUAUUCUCUAUCAAAGAUUGCCACUGUAUCAAAGAAAUAUUCUUAGUAGAUAGAAGCACUCCCAUGUAUUUAAAAGGUAGACUACCAUGGACGAAACCCAAGUGAUUCAGGAUGUUGGUCUGUUCUUCCUUUUUGACUCCACCAAAGUACACACUGCUCUUCCCAAGAUUAGCUUGUAGUCCUGAGGUUGUAGAGAAGGUUCUGAAACAUUCAUAAAGUGUAGAAAUAGAGCUCAAGUUUCCUUUGGCAAAUAGUAGUAGAUCAUCUGCAAAACUUAAGUGUGUUACACCUAGUUUUGCACAUUUAGGAUGGAAUUGAUAGCUCUUUUCAUCCUUCAGUUCAUUGAGCAGCCUAGUUAAGUAUUCCAUGGCUAUUGCAAAUAAGAAGGGAGAUAUUAGAUCGCUUUGUCUCAGCCCCCUAGUUGCAUUAAAGGGUUUACUUUGUCCUCCAUUGAUCACCACAGUGUAGUUUAUAGUUUGCACACGUUCCAUUAUCCAUAACACAAAUUGAUCAGGAAAUCCAAGCUCAAAUAACAUCUGUCUCACAAAGGUCCAUUCAACAGAAUCAUAAGCUUUUUGUAGGUCAAUUUUGAUCAUGCACCUAGCUGACAAAUUCUCCCUUGUAUAGUCUUUAACUAACUCAUGGGAAAGGAAUAUGUUGUCAGAUAUUUUCCUCCAUGGGAUAAAGCCAGCUUGAGUUGAACUUAUAAUAUCUGGCAUCACAGCCUGCAUUCUGGAGGCAAGGAUCUUGGCAAUCAUUUUGUAUAGGACUGUACAACAUGCAAUAGGUCUAUACUCUUUCACGGUAUUUGGUUUGGAAUUUUUUGGAAAUAGUCUGAUAGCAGUACAAUUGAUUGCCCUAUGUAAUAUCUGAGUUCUGAAAAACUCUUUGAAAACAACAAUAACUUAUUUCUUCACAAGGGGUCAUACCUUUUUGAAAAAAUAGGCAGUGUACCAGUCAACCCCAGGGGACUUAUCAUUUCCCAUUGAGGACAACCCAUCAUAUAUCUCAUUCUCUGUAAUGUUUGCACAUAAGCUUAUCCUUUGUUGUUGAGUGAGAACUGACCCUUUCCUCAUUGUUUGCUUAUUUACUGCUGGUAGAAUGGGAGCUGCUGAAUCCAUCAAGCUUUUAUAGAACUUGAUUAUCUCAUCUCUGAUUUCCUGUGGAUCUUCUAGCUUCCUAUUAUCAAGAGAUGUUAGCUCAGUAAUUUGUUUCCUCUGUGUCCUUUCUUUGAUCAAUGCUGAGAAGUAUUUAUUGUUUCAAUCUCCAAGUUUAAUCCAUGUAGCUUUAGCUUUUUGUUGUAGAGCACACUCUUCCAUCAAUGACCAUUUCUCCAGCUCGCGCAACAACUUUCUUUCUUCUGCAAGCAAAUCUGUAUUGUCCCAUAAUUGCAUUAGUUUCUGAGUGUUUUUGAGAUCUUGCCUUGACUUCUCUAUAUUUUGUCUGAUAAAAUUGAACUCCUCAUUUUAAGCCUCCUCAAGUAUGAUCUCAGGUUCUUCAAUUUCUUCCAAAUAUUCUCCAUACUAUUUGUGGAAAAAGUGUUCUGCCAUAUGUCUUCAACUAUCUUCAUGAAGUCUUUGUGUUCAGCCCAUACAUUGAAGAAUUUGAAAGAAACUUUAGUGUUAUAUCUAGCAGCUAUCAUUGAUAGUAAAAUAGGUGCAGGAUCUGAGAUAUAGGGAUCAUCAUACUGCAUCACCACAUGUCCCCAAUUCAUUAUCCUUUCAUAAUUGCCAAAAGACCUGUCUAUUCUACUGUAUAUUCUUUCUGUACUCAGCUGCUUGUUGGACCAUGUGUAGUAGUCCCCAGUCCACUGAACUCCUGUUAGUAGCAGGUCAUUUAUGCAUUCAGAGUACUCUUGGAUUUCAGUGUAAGUAAGUGGAUUGCCAAACAGUCUAUCUUCUUGUGUCAACACUGCAUUAAAAUCUCCAGUAACAAGCCAUGGUUUGUUGAUAUCUGCAGCCACUUCUUUCAGUUGUACCCAUAAUGAUCUCUUGUGUUCUAUUACAUUGAAGCCAUAAAUAAUAGUAAGAAAACAAUUGAUGUCUCCUAUCCUGCUUUUAACUUCAUAGUGCAAAAUAUGUGCUUCAGCUCUCACCAUGCUCACUUCACACCAUUGUGAAUCCCAAAUCAACCAUAUUCUGCCAUUAGAAGCAGCCUGAUAAUUGUCAUAUGCCUGCCAUGUUUCAGCAGUAUUCCCCCCGAUCUUCAUUGAAUUGUGUUCUUUGACUCUAGUUUCUAUGAGUCCAGCUAAUCUAAUUUUUUUGGUUUUUAAAUAAUUUCUCAGUUCCUUUUAUUUAUACCUCUUAUUUAUCCCCCUAAUAUUCCAUAUUAGCCAAUUCAUCAUGUUGUUUUUGUCCCCCCCCUCCUUUAUCAAGAGGUGUGCCUUGUUCUUCACUAUCUCCUCCAUGUAGCACUCCAAAACCAUUUUUUGUGGAGACGGAACGCAGUACGGGGAAAUUUUUGAGACUGAACUCAGGACUUUGUACAAUUUUCCCUUUGUUCUUCUCUGGUUGUGCUUCUAUUCUAUCUCUAGGAUAGGCUCUCAUCUUUGCACUCACUUGUUGUAUCUGUUGUGUAAUUUCCUUUGUUUGCUUUAUUUGUUGUUCAACUGGUGUUGUGUGUUGUAUAGGGCCCUUGUAUCUCCCUUCUUGUAUGACAGUUUUGGUUCUCCUCUUUCUAUGUUGUAUAUCCCUUUGGUCUUCAUCCACUUCUUUUUCUCUGCAUUUGUGUCCAACUAUUUGACAAAUUCCAUAAAAUUCUGGCCUCCAGUCAUAUGUCACUUAUUGUUGAACGCAUUUACCUUUUGGAUCAAUCACAGUAAUUUCAUCAGGUAAUGAUUGACUGACAUUUAUCUCCACAAGCAUUCUAGCAUAGGAUAUCCUAGAUUGCUUUGUGGUGCAUUCAUGAGCAAAUACAGGAGUUCCCAAUACACUAGCAAUUCUACUUAGAGACUUACUACCCCAGCAGUCCAUGGGAAGAUUAGGGAAUUUCACCCACAGUGGUAUCUCAGUAGGAAAUUUUCGUCUAAAAUCGAAGUCUGUUGUCCAUGGUUUCAAAAUUAUGGGUCGAUUGCUGAUAGUAUAUGGUCCAUUAUAGUACACAACAUGCAUAUCAGUUAUGGAGUUAAAUCGAAUCACAUAAUACCCUUCCUCAUGGAAGUAUACUUCUGGAGUAUCUAUAUUAAUCCAAUUUUGACUAGAAUACCUGUUCAUAACAUUAUACCAGGUGUUUCCGCAAUGACAUAUGCAAUUAAAGCACAUUUCCACUUUUCUUCUUUUGGUUCUACUUCUUCCGCUUCCAAUUGCGCCACCAUUUUUCCAUCAACGAUUUGUGGAGGGAUAUAUAUGUAAGAGCCAUACCAUUAGUUGAAAAUAUGUUGCCUUUGAACAAACUCGUCCAUGUUCCCGUCGGAUUUACUGCUUCAACUGCUCGAUCCACUGGCUUUUGCUUAAAAUUCACCGUUACAUUGGUCUGGUUCUCAAUUGUUGUUCCAUUGCUCUGAGCUUGCCCUAGUUCCUCCUGCAUGAUUCCCUUUGUAGCUGUCUCCAUAACAUCCGUUAUCUCUAGCUCCUUUGGUAUCUCCUUAGUGUUCGAACUAGAUCCUUGUUCCACAUAUCUAAUUCUUUCAUGUAGCUGCACCGGAGACGCCAUUGGAGUAUUUUUUGGUGUUACUUCUUCUUGAAUUCGAGAUCCAACUAAGCUCCCAAAAGCUACACUAGAUAUUUUCCUAGGUCAUCCACGUCCCCUUCCUCGUCCCCGACCCCUCGCCUCUGCCAUAUCCACACCGGUGUAUGUUUAGCUAACAUGCGCCAGGAGCCCGAGUGAGGUAGAGAGAGAAAGUAAAUCUUUUAAAAAAAUAGCCUAACAGCUCUUCCCCACGAAGACAUUGAAAAUUAAAUUAAAUUAAAAAUAUGCUUUAAACUUGAACCACAAGAUGAAAUAUUAAAAAGAAGGAUAUAUACACACACAUAUAUAUUGUGUAAAUUAUUUAUUUAUUUUAUUCUUCUGCUAUAUCUAUCUAUUUACUUAUUUUGUGAAGGGGGUGAUUUCUUUCAUAUUUUCGAUACAUGAUUGCAGCUCAAUAUUUUAGACAAGGUCUAACUACAUUUUAUUCUAUAUACAGAGAGAACGAUAUGAUUUUCAGUAUUCUCUUUAAUAUCUUAUAGAAUCUUACUAACCUGCUAUUCCUUCAAUUUGUUUUCUUAGCCUUCAUCUUUGAUCUUGGAGAAAAUUCUCUUUUUAUAUUCUUGCAUAAUUGAAUCACAAAAACUUCUGUGGUUUGCUUUUCUUAAAAUUAAGAGAGCCGAGAACUAAAUCUUGAACUCAACUUUAGCAAAUUUUGUUUAAUCUCUCAAUGUGCUAUGUCGGUAGCCACUCUAAAAAGCUGCUAUUAGGAAUUAGCUAGUGUGUCCUGAAUUUCAGUUUUUCAGUUCAAAUUUUUAGGACAAAAAUGUUUUAAAUUGUCCUGAAAUCGAGAUUUUUAGUUUAAAAAUUCAGAACAAAAUAAGUACUGGUUAAUCUCUAAACAACAUCCCUGAGAAUGACUAUUCGUACCCUUGCCCCGUCAUAAGUUUCACUCGUAUGUGUUCACUAAAUUUCUUAUUCACUUCAAUGUCUUAAGUUGCACUAGUAUAUGUUUGAAGGUGGGAAUGCUUAAAUCUUAUGUUUAAAGAUGCUGGGGAUGUUUAGGAAUGCAAAUGAAUAGU
rnacentral:lncRNA from 1 species